rnacentral:lncRNA from 1 species
AAGUUUCUAGAAAACUAAAUUACAAUUUAAUUAAAAUUCAAAUGACUCAAUGUUGAUUCUUUAAUGUGCACGCCACCAUCCUAAUGCUCCAAAUGAUGUCUCCCAUAAUUUCCCUGCAACCAAAAUUGCAAUUAAUUAGCUCAGAAAAUUCAAAUUAGUGAAAAUACGAAUUUCCGACCAAAUUAAGCAGAAUUAGGAAAAACGGGGAAAUAACGGACAGUUAAACACAAUUC